UACGUAGGGUCCGAGCGUUAAUCGGAAUUACUGGGCGUAAAGCGUGCGCAGGCGGUUUUGUAAGGCAGAUGUGAAAUCCCCGGGCUUAACCUGGGAAUGGCAUUUGGGACUGCAAGGCUUGAGUGCGGCAGAGGGGGGUGGAAUUCCACGUGUAGCAGUGAAAUGCGUAGAGAUGUGGAGGAACACCGAUGGCGAAGGCAGCCCCCUGGGUCGACACUGACGCUCAUGCACGAAAGCGUGGGGAGCAAACAGG
rnacentral:rRNA from 1 species